UACAGGGGGUGCAAACGUUGCUCGGAAUCAUUGGGCGUAAAGCGCACGUAGGCGGUUCGUUAUGUCGGAUGUGAAAGCCCUCGGCUUAACCGAGGAAGUGCAUCCGAAACUGGCGAGCUAGAGUACUAAAGAGGAUCGCGGAAUUCCCGGUGUAGAGGUGAAAUUCGUAGAUAUCGGGAGGAACACCGGUGGCGAAGGCGGCGAUCUGGGUAGAUACUGACGCUGAGGUGCGAAAGCGUGGGGAGCAAACAGG
rnacentral:rRNA from 1 species